AUGAGUAGAGGAGGCACUUUUAAGAAAACUGAUACGCAAGACAUUGCAAAAAAAUUUGGAGUGGGUGUUUGGAAUAUACAAAGAAUUUGGAGGAAGGCAAUGUUACAAAUUCAACAAGGUCAAGAAGUAGAUGUUGCCGAUCAGAGAAAAGGAAAUAGUGGAAGAAAGACUAAGGACAUUAACCUAGAAAAAAUCCUAACAAUCCCAUUAAACAGGAGGUCUACUAUUAGAUCACUAGCCUGGCAACUGGGAUGUAGCCCUACCACGCUUCAUAGAAAAUUCAUGCUGAAUUUGAUUAGGAGGCAUACAAACUAUUUGAAGCCGGCUUUAAAGGGAAAAAAUAAUAUGGAUAGGAUGAAAUUUUGUUUGUCGAUGCUUGAUGAGGAAACAACAGCAACUACGAGGCCUAAGUUCAAGACUAUGCGUAAUGUUGUCCAUAUUGAUGAGAAGUGGUUUAACAUGACAAAGAAGAAUAGAACGUAUUAUCUACUGGAUGGGGAGAAAGAGCCUACGAGGCCUAUACACGGCAACUGUAUUAGCAAGGUGAUGUUCUUAACGGCCGUUGCUAGGCCAAGGUGGGACAAUGAAGGAAACGUGACCUUCUCUGGGAAAAUCGGUAUCUGGCCAUUCGUGAAAGAAGUUCCUGCUCAAAGGAGAAGCGACAACAGGCCCAAAGGUACAAUAGAGACAAAGUCAAUAAAGGUCGACAGAAAAGUGAUGAGAGAGUUCCUCAUAGAGAAGGUCUUGCCAGCGAUACAAGCUGUUUGGCUGGAAAGUGAUGCUGAACAACCCAUCUACAUUCAGCAGGAUAAUGCUAAGCCCCAUAUCUUGCCAGAUGACCAGGAAUUUCUAGCAGCUGUCGCAAAAACUGGACUUGACAUUAGAUUAGUACAACAGCCUGCCAACAGUCCUGAUUUGAAUGUUCUUAACCUUGAGUUUUUCAACUCGCUGCAAUCCCUGACAGAUUGUCUGAGUCCUAAAACACUACAAGACCUUAUUGCAGGUGUUUUGGAGGAAUUUGAAGGCUAUGAGGUUUACAAGCUCAACAAAAUUUUCCUAACUCUACAAAUGUGCAUGAUUGAGAUCAUGAACCAUGCAGGGGGGAAUGGGUAUAAACUACCACAUGUUAACAAGGAAAGGCUUGAGGGUCAUGGGCAGCUACCUCCAAGACUAACAUGCCCUAAAGAGGUUUACGCAAAUGCUUUAUACAUCUUAGAGCUAAUGGAGAGGGUUCAGUGA
rnacentral:rRNA from 1 species